UUUUCUCUCACGUACUCUCUCUUCUCUCUCUUCUUAUCUUCUUUCUUCUGUUUUUUUUGAUGAAGUUUCCGGUGAGUGUUGAAGAACACCACCGUGAAACUCAGUUUCCGGCGCGGUGGCCGGCGAGUUGUCGCGGCGGCGCCACCGCGCCGGAAAAAAACUCCCCUUUUUUUUAAAAAAAACGUUUUUUUAAGACCUCUUCUUCUUCUCUUUUUGAUUCUAGGUUCAAAACUUCUAAAACAAACACUGUUUAUCCUAGAUCUAGAAAGAAAAAGAAAAAUCUUUAUACCUCUUUUACUUUGGAUCUUGGUUCGAUGGUUGUGGUGGUUUGUUGUUGGAUUUUGGUUGCUGGUUCUGGGUUAAAACAUUGUGCGGAAAUGAUGAUGAAAAAUUGUGUUUGUGUUGAUUCAGAAAACGAUUGUGGUGUUAUGUGAUUUGCAGGUGAUCCUGAGUAGUUGGUGGUGGCUCAAUGUCGUGUCUAGGGCUCUGAUACGUGGGAUGGGAAUUAUUAUUUAUAUUAUUGUUGUUUUUCCUUUCCAUGUAUCAAAUUUUGGAAUUGUGAUGUGGAGCCUUUUAUUGUCUUUUGAACAAUGAUGUUGACUUAUGCUAAGGCCUUUAAUGCCAUAGACUGUUGUUGGAUGUUCAUGAGGUUAUGGAUUUGAAAACUAUUCCGCUGCUAUGUUUUCAUAUAUAUCAAGUUGUUUUGACUAAAUAGUUUUAUUUUCUAUUUAAGA
rnacentral:lncRNA from 1 species